rnacentral:rRNA from 1 species
UGGGGAAUAUUGGACACUGGGCGAAAGCCUGAUCCAGCCAUGCCGCGUGUGUGAAGAAGGCCUUAUGGUUGUAAAGCACUUUAAGCGAGGAGGAGGGUACGGGUAUUAAUACUACCAGCUACUGGACGUUACUCGCAGAAUAAGCACCGGCUAACUCUGUGCCAGCAGCCGCGGUAAUACAGAGGGUGCGAGCGUUAAUCGGAUUUACUGGGCGUAAAGCGUGCGUAGGCGGCUAAUUGAGUCGGAUGUGAAAUCCCCGAGCUUAACUUGGGAAUUGCAUUCGAUACUGGUUAGCUAGAGUGUGGGAGAGGAUGGUAGAAUUCCAGGUGUAGCGGUGAAAUGCGUAGAGAUCUGGAGGAAUACCGAUCGCGAAGGCAGCCAUCUGGCCUAACACUGACGCUGAGGUACGAAAGCAUGGGGAGCAAACAGG